AUGUCCUAGGGAAGAAUGGCCCCAGGGAAUGAAUCUUCAGUGACUGAGUUUAUCCUGCUGGGUUUAACACAGCAGCCAGAACUCCAGCUGCCUCUCUUUUUCAUUUUCUUAGCAAUUUAUGUGGUCACUGUGGUGGGGAAUGUUGGCUUGAUUAUUCUUAUUGGUCUGAACCCUCACCUGCACACUCCCAUGUACUACUUUCUCUUCAACCUUUCCUUCAUUGAUCUCUGCCACUCCUCUGUCAUUACUCCUAAAAUGCUGAUGAGUUUUGUAAGUCAGAACAUCAUCCCUUAUGCAGAGUGCAUGACUCAGCUCUGCUUCUUCUCCUUCUUUGUUAUUGAUGAGUGCUAUAUUUUGACGUCAAUGGCCUAUGACCGAUACGUGGCCAUCUGUAAGCCACUGCUGUACAAGGUCUCCAUGUCCCAUCAGGUCUGCCUCAUGCUGACGGUGGGUGUAUACGCGAUGGGGCUUGUGGGUGCCAUGGCCAAUACUGGGUGCAUGCUGCGACUCUCCUUCUGUGAUGGAAACAUCAUCAAUCACUACAUGUGUGACAUUCCUCCUCUCCUCCAGCUCUCUUGCACAAGCACCUCCAUCAGUGAGCUGGAGAUUUUCAUUGUGGUGGGUGUCAAUGUCAUAGUGCCCAGUGUCACCAUCUCCGUUUCUUACACCUUGAUCCUCUUGAACAUCCUUCACAUCCGUUCUACAGAGGGCAGGUCCAAAGCCUUCAGUACCUGCAGCUGCCACAUAAUUGUGGUUACUCUUUUCUUUGGAUCAGCAACAUUCAUGUAUCUUAAGCCUUUUCCUGCUGGGUCUCUGGAUGAAGAUAAAGUGUCCACAGUUUUUUACACAAUUGUGGGGCCAAUGGUGAAUCCUUUCAUCUACAGUUUGAGGAACAAAGAUGUCCAAGUUGCACUGAGUAAGACUUUGAGGAAAAGGGUGGUCUGA